rnacentral:rRNA from 1 species
CUGUGCUAAGGUAGCAUAAUCAAUUGUCUUUUAAUUGUGGGCUAGUAUGAAAGGUUGCACGAAACAUCUACUUUCUUUUAAUUAUUUAAUGAAUUUAAUUUUUAAGUUAAAAAGCUUAAAUAUUUUUGAGGGACGAGAAGACCCUAUAGAUCUUUAUAUAUAAUAAGAUUGAUUUUUUUUGUUUAUAAUUGUAUUAUCAAUUUUAUAAUUAUUUCAUUGGGGUGAUAGGAGAAUUAUAAUAACUUCUCUUUAAUUGUUUCAUAUAUGUAUGUUUUUUUGAUCCAUUGUGAAUGAUUAUAAGAUUAAGUUACCUUAGGGAUAACAGCGUAAUUUUUUUGGAGAGUUCUUAUUGAUAAAGAAGUUUGCGACCUCGAUGUUGGAUUAAAAUAAGUUAUAAGUGCAGGAGCUUAUUUACUGGGUCUGUUCGACCUUUAAAUUUUUACAUGAUCU